GGUGCACAUAGCCGACCGGCACGCCCGCCUGAUCGACGAUCACGUAGCGCGAGAAGCCGUGCUUUGCGACGGCGCGUUCGAUCUCGUCGGGCGUCG
rnacentral:tRNA from 1 species